UCGGGAAUAUUGCGCAAUGGAGGAAACUCUGACGCAGUGACGCCGCGUGCAGGAAGAAGGUUUUCGGAUUGUAAACUGCUUUAGACAGGGAAGAAACAAGACAGUACCUGUAAAAUAAGCUCCGGCUAACUACGUGCCAGCAGCCGCGGUAAUACGUAGGGAGCAAGCGUUAUCCGGAUUUAUUGGGUGUAAAGGGUGCGUAGACGGGAAGGCAAGUUAGUUGUGAAAUCCCUCGGCUUAACUGAGGAACUGCAACUAAAACUAUCUUUCUUGAGUGCUGGAGAGGAAAGUGGAAUUCCUAGU
rnacentral:rRNA from 1 species